AUUGAACGCUGGCGGCAGGCCUAACACAUGCAAGUCGAGCGAGCGGCGGACGGGUGAGUAACGUAUGGGGACUGUCCUAUAGAGGGGGCUAACUACUGUAAACGGUGGCUACUACCGAAUACUAGCGGAUAACCCAUAUUGGAUUAGCUAGUAGGUGGGGUAAAGGCUCACCUAGGCGACGAUCUCUAGCUGGUCUGAGAGGAUGAUCAGCCACACUGGUACUGAGACACGGCCCAGACUCCUACGGAGGCAGCAGUGGGGAAUAUUGCACAAUGGGCGCAAGCCUGAUGCAGCCAUGACGCGUGUAUGAAGAAGGACUUAGGGUCGUAAAGUACGUUCAGUGGGGAGGCGUUACCCUCAGAAGAAGCACCGGCUAACUCCGUGCCAGCCGCCGCGGUAAUUC
rnacentral:rRNA from 1 species